AGCGAACGCUGGCGGCAGGCCUAACACAUGCAAGUCGAGCGCCGUAGCAAUACGGAGCGGCAGACGGGAGAGUAACACGUGGGAACGUACCCUUCAGUUCGGAACAACCCAGGGAAACUUGGGCUAAUACCGGGUACGUCCGUAAGGAGAAAGAUUUAUCGCUGAAGGAUCGGCCCGCGUCUGAUUAGCUAGUUGGCGAGGUAACGGCUCACCAAGGCGACGAUCAGUAGCUGGUCUGAGAGGAUGAUCAGCCUCACUGGGACUGAGACACGGCCCAGACUCCUACGGGAGGCAGCAGUGGGGAAUAUUGGACGAUGGGCGCAAGCCUGAUCCAGCCAUGCCGCGUGGAUGAUGAAGGCCCUAGGGUUGUAAAGUCCUUUCGGCGGGGAAGAUAAUGACGGUACCCGCAGAAGAAGCCCCGGCUAACUUCGUGCCAGCCGCCGCCGUAA
rnacentral:rRNA from 1 species